AGAAUCAACGCUGGCGGCGUGCCUAACACAUGCAAGUCGAACGAGAAAGUGGAGCAAUCCAUGAGUAAAGUGGCGCACGGGUGAGUAACACGUGACUAACCUACCCUUGAGUGGGGAAUAACCUAGGGAAACCUGGGCUAAUACCGCAUAACACCUACGGGUCAAAGGAGCAAUUCGCUUAAGGAGGGGGUCGCGGCAGAUUAGCUAGUUGGCGGGGUAAUGGCCCACCAAGGCAGUGAUCUGUAUCCGGCCUGAGAGGGCGCACGGACACACUGGAACUGAAACACGGUCCAGACUCCUACGGGAGGCAGCAGUGGGGAAUUUUGCGCAAUGGGGGAAACCCUGACGCAGCAACGCCGCGUGGAGGAUGAAGUCCCUUGGGACGUAAACUCCUUUCGACCGGGAAGAUUAUGACGGUACCGGAAGAAGAAGCCCGGCUAACUUCGCGCCAGCAGCCGC
rnacentral:rRNA from 1 species